rnacentral:rRNA from 1 species
UUGAUCUCAAAUCAGGUAGGACUACCCGCUGAACUUAAGCAUAUCAAUAAGCGGAGGAAAAGAAACUAACAAGGAUUCCCCUAGUAACUGCGAGUGAAGCGGGAAGAGCUCAAAUUUAAAAUCUGGCGUGCCUCUGGUCGUCCGAGUUGUAGUCUGGAGAAGCGUUUUCCGUGUUGGACCGUGUAUAAGUCUCUUGGAACAGGGCGUCGUAGAGGGUGAGAAUCCCGUCUUUGACACGGACUGCCAACGCUUUGUGAUGCGCUCUCAAAGAGUCGAGUUGUGUGGGACUGCA